rnacentral:sRNA from 1 species
UUACAUCUGAAGCCUGAGAGGAUGAGAACCUCCGGGGGAAGAGGUUCGACUCGAGCGAAGCGAGAGAACGUUGCGCAGCAACGGCCCGAAGGGCGAGCCACGCAGUGGCGAGUCAUCCUCUAUCACCGACCA